ensembl:lncRNA
UGGUUACUGUGUUGAAUAAUAAAUUAAGCUUCUGAUUAAUCCCUGUGAGACUCAUUGACUCCCUCCUGGCGCUAGUGUACAGAUGUUCCCAAGCAGCCCUCAGAAAGUGGUUUGAAUAGAACAAGUUAUAGGCAACACAAAGUUGGGAAUGAAAGGCAAUUAAAAUCUUGAGUAAUACCAAAACUUAAACUAUGAAACCUGUGGGUCUGGGCCAGUGAAUUUUAUAAUCCUGUGGCUGUGGCAGAGAAUUUGAGGAUGAUGCAUCCAGAUGAAAAUACAGAAGUUAUGGGUCCCAAUUUUCUCUCUCUCUCUGCAACAGAGGUACACCUUCAUGUACUUUGUCACCUGACUUUACAGGGCAUCCUACUACAGGGAGAGUACAAAUCCCACUCCAUUGACUUUGGGCCUUGGCCAUUCUUUGAUCCAGAGAAUGUGGUUGGAAGUCACAGUGUACCAGUUCUAAGCUAAGGCUCUUAGAAGCAUCCCAUCAUGGAUUUCCAUGAGCACUCUUGAAGCCAAGUUCUGCUGGCUUGCAGACCAAUGAGCAAAAACAACAUACAUUUGAUGUUGUAAGCAACUGAAAUUUUGGGGUUGUUUUUUAUAGAUUGUAAUCAUAGCAGAAAUAGAUGAUUCAUACUGAUGCUAACCAUGGGGGGGACCCCAAGUAUGAAAUUAUAUGCUUAAAAUUUCUGGUGGCUCCCCUUGUCUUCAAGAUAAAAUGGUACAAAACAUGGUUUUUUGCUUACCUCCUGGGGCUACAUCUUGUACUUUUCCACUUGCUCCCUUACUCAGCUGCAUUCAACUACUUGCUUUCAGAAGGCUCCAUGUUCUUUCAAACCUCUUUGCCUAUGCUGUGUGAUUGUUUUGCCUGAGAUGCCCUUUCCUUCUUCUAUUCUCCAAUUUGGUUCUUAACCAACCUCCUUAGAUCCUGUUCAUUUUCUGGUCUUAGCUUAGCUGUUGACUUCCCUGGGAAGUCCUUAAUGGUGGUGUGAGGGAUAAGAAUUGGCCACCCCAAAAUCUGUCUCUUUGGCUUGAUUAUUUUUAAGAACAAAAGACUCUGAAAAAACUUUGACCUUUCCCCUAACUGCCUGAAAGAAUUUAAGAUAGAAGGCCUGUCCCAGGAAGGAACUGAUAGCAUAAGAUAACUAUAGUAUAAUGUAAAGUCGGUGUGAUAGGAAGGUACCAACAAGCCCAUUUUUAUCAAAGUUUUGCCUACAGGUGGCUCUGCAAACACUUGUUUAACAAACACUUGCAUUUGCAUCUCCAUGUAAAUUGUCUUCCUCCCUUUUGAAGACCCAAACCACUACCACAACACCCUCCUUUUCAUUAGCCGAACAUGGUAUUUAAGGUGGCAGCUUUGGCUUUCCUGGGUUUCUCCCAUGUAUACAUGUUAUUAUAUUUUGUUUUAUUUUUUCCUGUUCUUCUGUCUCAUGUCGAUUUAAUUUUUGGACCAGCCCGAAGUAUCUAGAGGAGAGAGGAAUUGUCUUCCUCCUCUCCAGUUUGGUGAUGAAGGUGGAAUAAAACUUCACUGGCUGGACACUGCUUGCUCCUGGACUACUGCAACUAAGAGAUCCUGGAUCCCUGACAAGAGCUGGCAAGAGAUUUAAAAAGAGCAAUUCGACUUGGUGUGUCAACUGGUGAUGGAAAUCCCAGGAUGAGGGGAUUAAUCCCUGUGCUCUUGGAUCAAAAUAUGCAGGGUCAAGAGAAAAACGAAAGAGAGCCCAGGAUGUGACUCUUCCCAAUGCUGAGACAUACAGAGUGGAUUACAGCUGAGUGUUUUUGAACAAAGGCUUAAUAAACUUCAACCUCCGUGGUACCAAGUACUGAAGUCACAGUGAAAUACAGCAGUACAAAAACCCUCUUCUUCUUUUUCACCGUUUCUUGGCAUUUUGCCAUCACCAACCUCUGCCAUCGGAAUACCUCUAAAAUCUUUCACCAAUGCUGUUAUUGUGGUUAAAUGCUAUAAAACUCAGAGGCACAGAAUGAUUACAAUCACACAAAUCAAUGAGUAAAACACUAAAAACCUAAAAAAUUAAUGGACAAAGGGCAAAUGCAGAAAUUCACUUAUUGGUCAACAAACUUCAAAAAAUGUUUUAACUCUCUGGUAAUAAAAAUGCAAAUAAAGAAUUAAGAAACCAUUUUUUUUGUACAGAUAUCUAAGCAAUCCUUUUAGAAAAAAAGUGAUGUUCUCAAUGCUGGCAAGAUGUUGGUAUCAAUAUAAAUUGUUGUAUUUUUAUUGGAAACCAAUUAGUUUAUACCAACAGGGUGAAAAUAUUUAUACUAGUUUGAGCAAAUAGUUCCACUUUGGCAAAUUGACUUUAAGAACAUACUAUACCUGUUUGAAUAUAAAGUGAGGUUUAUCAUUGUCAGAGAAGAGAGAAUCCCCAUAAAAUGGAUUCCUUAUAAAAAUUACAAACAGCAAUAUUACAAUGCUUUCACGCAAUUAUUUUAUUUUGCACAAUUAAGUACAGUUUAGCGAAGACACAUUAACCUGGGAUGAUCUCAUUCAAUGCUGGUUCAUAGAUACUCAAGGAAGUCAGCUGAUGAGGUUAGUAAAAAGGUGACUAAGUAAUUUAACAAAACUUAGUAACUAUUCUUGCAAAUAUGUCUUUGAAAUUACAAAUAUUCAAUAUUGUUUAAAUAAAUCUUUUAAAGGAAA